AUUUAUAUAGUUUAAAAAAACAUUACAUUUUCAUUGUAAAAAUAAAUUAAUAAAAUUUUAUAAAUU
rnacentral:tRNA from 1 species